GGUGUCUUGCCUUAUUCUAAGACAUGGACUUGAGCUGGAUUUUGAACACCCCAAGAUUUUUCAACGUUCUGGGAUUUUUGUUUGGCUCCAUCUCAGCUUUCUAGCCAGGCUUCUCUAUAAGGCCCGUACUCCAGAUUUGCUAACACCAACACUAAUGUGCAAGGAAUUAUUAUAUCUGGAUGUUUCCAAAGCUGAAAGAACAACAUCUUUGGAAAUCUACUCCUCCCUGACCACAUGUGCAAUAAAUGUAAAAAUGCAAAUUAAAUAAGCACAAGCCAAGCAGGGUAGCUCCUAUGUGUCCCAGAGCUCCCCUCCUGGGCUUGUGACCAAAACACCAA